UACGGGGGGGGCAAGCGUUGUUCGGAAUUACUGGGCGUAAAGGGCUCGUAGGCGGCCAACUAAGUCAGACGUGAAAUCCCUCGGCUUAACCGGGGAACUGCGUCUGAUACUGGAUGACUUGAGAUUGGGAGAGGGAUGCGGAAUUCCAGGUGUAGCGGUGAAAUGCGUAGAUAUCUGGAGGAACACCGGUGGCGAAGGCGGCAUCCUGGACCAACACUGACGCUGAGGAGCGAAAGCCAGGGGAGCAAACGGG
rnacentral:rRNA from 1 species